rnacentral:rRNA from 1 species
AUUGAACGCAGGCGGCAUGCCUUACACAUGCAAGUCGAACGGCAGCGGGCCUUCGGGUGCCGGCGAGUGGCGAACGGGUGAGUAAUGCAUCGGAACGUGCCAUUGAGUGGGGGAGUAACGUAGCGAAAGUUACGCUAAUACCGCAUAUUCUGUGAGCAGGAAAGCAGGGACGCAAGGCCUUGCGCUCUUUGAGCGGCCGAUGUCAGAUUAGCUAGUUGGUGAGGUAAAGGCUUACCAAGGCGACGAUCUGUAGCGGGUCUGAGAGGAUGAUCCGCCACACUGGAACUGAGACACGGUCCAGACUCCUACGGGAGGCAGCAGUGGGGAAUUUUGGACAAUGGGCGCAAGCCUGAUCCAGCCAUGCCGCGUGAGUGAAG